rnacentral:rRNA from 1 species
UGAUACCCUGCUUCCAGGAAAAGCCACUAAGCUUCAGCUAUACACGACCGUACCGCAAACCGACACUGGUGCGCGAGAUGAGUAUUCUAAGGCGCUUGAGAGAACUCGGGAGAAGGAACUCGGCAAAUUGACACCGUAACUUCGGAAGAAGGUGUGCCCUUAGUAGGUGAAGUCCCUCGCGGAUGGAGCCCAAUGGGGUUGCAAAAAUCGGUGGCUGCGACUGUUUAUUAGAAACACAGCACUCUGCAAACACGAAAGUGGACGUAUAGGGUGUGACGCCUGCCCGGUGCUGGAAGAUUAAAUGAUGGGGUGCAAGCUCUUGAUUGAAGUCCCAGUAAACGGCGGCCGUAACAAUAACGGUCCUAAGGUAGCGAAAUUCCUUGUCGGGUAAGUUCCGACCUGCACGAAUGGCGUAACGAUGGCCACACUGUCUCCUCCCGAGACUCAGCGAAGUUGAAAUGUUUGUGAUGAUGCAAUCUCCCCGCGGAAAGACGGAAAGACCCCAUGAACCUUUACUGUAGCUUUGUAUUGGACUUUGAACAGACCUGUGUAGGAUAGGUGGGAGGCUUUGAAGCUGGGACGCUAGUUCCGGUGGAGCCAACGUUGAAAUACCACCCUGGUGUGUUUGAGGUUCUAACCUAGGUCCCUUAUCGGGAUCGGGGACAGUGCAUGGUAGGCAGUUUGACUGGGGCGGUCUCCUCCCAAAGCGUAACGGAGGAGUUCGAAGGUACGCUAGCUACGGUCGGACAUCGUGGCGAUAGUGCAAUGGCAUAAGCGUGCUUAACUGCGAGACUGACAAGUCGAGCAGAUGCGAAAGCAGGACAUAGUGAUCCGGUGGUUCUGUAUGGAAGGGCCAUCGCUCAACGGAUAAAAGGUACUCUGGGGAUAACAGGCUGAUACCGCCCAAGAGUUCAUAUCGACGGCGGUGUUUGGCACCUCGAUGUCGGCUCAUCUCAUCCUGGGGCUGUAGUCGGUCCCAAGGGUAUGGCUGUUCGCCAUUUAAAGAGGUACGUGAGCUGGGUUUAAAACGUCGUGAGACAGUUUGGUCCCUAUCUUCCGUGGGCGCUGCAGAUUUGAGGAAGCCUGCUCCUAGUACGAGAGGACCGGAGUGGACACACCUCUGGUGUAUCGGUUGUCACGCCAGUGGCAUUGCCGAGUAGCUAAGUGUGGAAGAGAUAACCGCUGAAAGCAUCUAAGCGGGAAACUCGUUUCAAGAUGAGAUCUGCCGGGGCCUUGAGCCCCCUAAAGAGUCGUUCAAGACCAGGACGUUGAUAGGCAGGGUGUGGAGGCGUAGUAAUGCGUUAAGCUAACCUGUACUAAUUGCUCGUGCGGCUUGACC